CUUGUAGUAGGUAAGCGAUGGGGUGACGCAGGAAGGUAGUCCAGCCCGGGCGGUGGUUGUCCCGGGGUAAGGGUGUAGGACGCACGGUAGGCAAAUCCGUCGUGCACAUAAGUCUGAGACCUGAUGCCGAGCCGAUUGUGGUGAAGUGGAUGAUCCUAUGCUGUCGAGA
rnacentral:rRNA from 1 species